rnacentral:rRNA from 1 species
UACGGAGGGUGCAAGCGUUAUCCGGAUUUACUGGGUUUAAAGAGUGUGUAGGCGGUGCUCUAAGUCUGUUGUGAAAUCUCCCGGCUCAACUGGGAGGGUGCGGCGGAAACUGGAGUGCUCGAGUGUGGGAGAGGUAAGCGGAAUUCCUGGUGUAGCAGUGAAAUGCGUAGAUAUCAAGUGGAACACCAGUGGCGAAGGCGAGUCCCUGGACAGAUCCUGACGCUGAGGCACGAAAGCUAGGGGAGCAAACAGG